rnacentral:rRNA from 1 species
AGCUAUUUAAACGGCCGCGGUAUACUAACCGUGCAAAGGUAGCGUAAUCACUUGUCCUUUAAAUAGGGACUAGUAUGAAUGGCAACAUGAGGGUGUAACUGUUUCAUGUGACCAAUCAUUGAACCUGAUCUUCCAGUACAAAAGCUGGAAUAUAUACAUAAGACGAGAAGACCCUGCGGAGCUUUAAACCCCUUCACACCGACCAAUCAUAACACCCACGGACACACCAAUACAGCGAGUGAGAAGCGUUUUAAGUUGGGGCGACUGCGGAGUAAAAAAUACCCCCCGCGAUAAUAAACCUGCCAUAGGCGGACACGCCCACCGCAUACAACAAAUGACCCAGUACAACUGAUAAACGAACCAAGUUACCCCAGGGAUAACAGCGCUAUCCCCCUCAAGAGUCCAUAUCACAAGGGGGGCUUACGACCUCGAUGUUGGAUCAGGACACCCAGGUGGUGCAGCCGCUACCAACGGUUCGUUUGUUCAACGAUUAAUAGUCCU